CGUCCUUUUCUCCGGGAGCUGCAUGGGGACUGCAGGAGUCCAAAGCCUCGCUGUGUUUUAUGGGGAACAGUUAUUAAUAUUGGGUCAAAUAAUCCAGUAUUUCUUCACUCUGGUGCUGAAGGUCCGCUGCGCUGCUCUGUACUGUGCUUCCCCUUUACUCUGUUUUCAUUUAAAGCCCCUCAGUCUUAAAACAGCGGCACUAGCGGGCCUCCAGCGGGCCUUCAGCACCGAUAGUGAUUAUUACCCUGCCGGAUUAGAUUAGAGCAGCGCGGCGGAGCUCUGUAAGUCCCGGUGACGCUGCAACUGGAUUUUAUAAAGAUAUGAGAAAAGAAUGCUUUCGUCGAGGAUUUAACAUGAAAAGGCCCAGUUCCAAAAGACACAACAUCCUCAGUGUCCUGGAGCUCCAGCUGAAGCACUGGCCACCUUCUCCAUCCCCACCCAAAAGAGGAAGAUCAGCAGCAGUGGAGGGUCCCAGGAUGUUGAGAUGGUAGUGCAGAGCGGUACUUCUAAGGCAGCUAGUUGAAGGCGUGAUUGAGGUCCAUGCCAGAGGGGUUCUGCACUGUGACCUCAAGCCAUAGAACAUCCUGGUUCAGAUGUACAGUUAGGAACCACGCCUUCAUCUUCUGUUCUUCUGGACCUUCCUCAUGAGUGGUUUACCCAUGAGGCCAAAUCCUCCACAGUGUUGCAGAUAGGAAUCAUCCUGCUGUGUGUGAGAGGUGACCCUUCAACACCAGCACGGAGAUCACCUCAAAGAAGUCUCAGAUCAUCUCUCCACCAUCUGCUCUAUGACCCCUGGCUAAGUAUACACCACGACACAGCCACCACAUCAGGCACACCUCAGUCAGGUACCAUAUAAAACAAUAAUAAUAAUUUUAAAAAAUCUAUAUUUUCAAUCUCUAGUUUAGAGAGUUCUCUAGUAGAGCUGGGCGAUUAAUCGAUUUUAUCGAUAAAUUCGAAUUUAUAGUUAAGGACAAUGUGUUUUUAUAAAAAUCGAUUUUCUCUGAGUUUUCUUUUUCACCACAGACGCUCCUCUGUGGGCACAGAGUGAGCUUAGCUAGCUCCCUCCAUACCUCCCUCCCUCCAGCGCGCGCACCCCCUGCCACUCCCUCCCUCCCUCCCUCCCUUGCACGCACAAACACACACGUGCACACACACACAUACACAAAACACAUGACGGCGGAGCUUAAGAGCAACUAGCUCCGUGAUCUGGAGUUGGUUCGGUUUUGCGGCGUCGGACGUAGACCAAACAGGUCCUCGCUGUAAGGUGAACCAAUUUAUCACUAUACCUUAAACAGAAGCAUGUAGCGGAGUGGGAGAAGUGCUGCUACCAUAGGAAUGAACGCAGCAGCAGCACCAGUUCACCAUUCAACGUUAAUCAAGGAACUGUCCCUGGCACAUCUUCCAACCGUGUACCAGGUUUUGUAUGCACUACAAGUUAAGAUGUUUUGCAUAUUCAUGAGAAAAGAUCUCAUUUUAUAGAACACUGGCACUUAUUUAAAUGUUUUGUUUUGCAAUUCUAGCCCAAUAGGGAAAAGUAUUUACUUAAGAGCAUAUAAAUUGUACUUGUUUUCUAUUGUCUACUUUGUAAGUUUUAUCAAAAAAGGGCACCAUUUUAUUUAUUUCUAUUUGUUUUUAAGGGUGUGUUUAUUUAUUUAUUUUUUAAGUUUGAGGGUGCAUUGUGUCAGUACCUAAACUAUGUUGGAGAAAGCUUUCUAAAAGUCACUAGAUGUUCUCACUGUUUACAAUAGUUUUUUUUGCUUGUUUCUGGUUGCACUUUAACCACAAAUGGAACAUUUUAAGUGAAAACAAAUUAAAUAAGAACUAGUUUUUAACCAUUUCUUUAAUCUUUAGUUUGAUUUUUAGUAGGGGGAAAAAAUCGAUUUAAAUCGAAAAUUGGAUUAAAAAAAAAAAUCUAAGAUUUUUUUUUUUCGGCCAUAUCGCCCAGCUCUAUACUCUAGUUUAGAGGUUUUUUUUUUAUAAAACACACCUAAGGAAAAUAGCAGGUAUUAAUAAAGCUAUUGAUUCCAUACUUUUAAAAAGGUAAUGAUUUUCUUUAACUAUAUAAAUGUUUUAAUCGUUUUGUGUAUUGUAUGCUUUUAAUUGCUUCCUGUUUUGUAUUUGUGUUCAUGUACUUAAGGCUUUAAUCCUUUUAUCUUGAUAUUGUUUAUCUUUUGAUGUUUAUUAAUUACUUAACUGUAUUUAUCUUUGUGUAGUAUACUGUUAGUGUUUUAAUCCAUACACUUUUUGUAUAUAUUUCUUUUAUUACUUAGUUACUUGCUUUAUUAAUGGUUAUUGUAUUGGUGUUUUAGUCUUAUUUUGGGCUUAUAUUCAUUAAAAACAUUUUAACGUUUGUCUUUUAGUGCUUUAAUCAAUUAAUAUUGUACUUACCUUUUACUAUUUUACUAUUAAUCUUUCUGUACUUAAUUAUACAUUAUUUUUUAUUUAUUUUUUUAUAAAAUUAAAGGCGGGUUUAUUAAUUGUAUGUCUUUAUACGGGAUUUUAUUUGCAUUGUAUAUAUUUUUGUUUCAUUUAAUGUUUAUGCUCUUUGUCUUUUUCAGAUUUUUACAUUUUUAAUUUGUGUAUUGACCCAAGGAGUAUGGGUUCCUCUCAAGGUUUCUAUCUCUCUUUCUGAGAGAAUUUUCUUUGCCGCUGUCUCCUUUGUGCUUACUCAAAAGAGGUUUGGACACUUUUUUUUUUUUUUUUUUUAACUGUUCUUAAUUUUGUUUGUUUCUUAACUUUGUCAAUAAAUGUUUUUUUAUUGCUA